rnacentral:lncRNA from 1 species
CUUGUGACAAGGGCAGGGAACCGGUAACUGUCAGAUGGCCUGACUGGGAAAGAGAGCCCGUGAGUGAGCCUCCUUCUGUUCCCCCAGGACUGCCCUACCCAGCUCCCAGAAGCUGGAGCCUUCUCCCAACAGGCAGAGUCUCCUUGCACCUGAGGACAUCCAGACCCUUCAUCUGGAGCCUGGAAAGCCACAGCCACAGCAGGAUGAGGAAGAACAGCAGAAACUGCCCCCGCAGCCCCCCUACUAUGAUCUGGGGGCCUCCCCUUCCUACCACCCCUGGGGCUCUGGUCCAAAGGACACUGACAUCCACUACGUAGAGCUGGACACGUCAGCCCUGGAACUCGCACCAGGGCCACGGACCACCAUGCUGGGGUCUGAAGAGGUUGUGGAAUAUGCCACCAUCCAGCUGAGUGGCCCCCUAGCGCACGACCCCUAGCCACCCACCCCUUCCUCUGGACCUCAGGUAUGCUCUGCCCCCCACCCUUCCCAGCCUUCAAAGGCCCAGCUGCCCAGAGGGCUGGAGGGAUCCAGAGCU